GCCCUGCAAUACACGCGUCAUUUUCGUGAGUCGAAUCGUUAUUGUAUUCGAGUAUACAGGUAACGUACGAUUGUAUAUUAUUACGUGUAUUAUUUUUUUUUUUUUUUUUUUUUUUAUACACCGAUGAUUCCGUUCCGAUUAGGAAAACAAAAAAGUGUUAUCAAUGUCGAACACAAACAAUUUAAACGUAGUGUAUACUGUCAU